UUAAGUGAAUAAGGGCGCACGGAGGAUGCCUUGGCACUAGGAGUCGAAGAAGGACGCGACAAACGGCGAAACGCCUCGGGGAGCUGUAAGUGAGCAUUGAUCCGGGGGUAUCCGAAUGGGGAAACCCGCUAGUGGUUAUACGCUAGCACCAUAUGGUGAAUACAUAGCCAUAUAGGAGACAGACCCAGGGAACUGAAACAUCUAAGUACCUGGAGGAAAAGAAAGAAAAAUCGAUUCCCGUAGUAGCGGCGAGCGAAGUGGGAAGAGCCCAAACCGGAUUUAUCCGGGGUUGUAGGACCUUCAUAAUUGACAAAUCAUGAUAGCCGAAUGGUCUGGGAAGGCCAACCGUAGGGGGUGAGAGUCCCGUAGGUGAAAUUGUGAGAUGCAUGGAAGGAAUCCUGAGUACGGCGGGACACGUGGAAUCCCGUCGGAAUCAACGAGGACCAUCUCGUAAGGCUAAAUACUACCUAGUGACCGAUAGUGAACCAGUACCGUGAGGGAAAGGUGAAAAGAACCCCGGGAGGGGAGUGAAAGAGAACCUGAAACCGUGUGCCUACAAAUAGUCAGAGCCCGUUAAUGGGUGAUGGCGUGCCUUUUGUAGAAUGAACCGGCGAGUUACGAUAUCGUGCGAGGUUAAGCAGAAGAUGCGGAGCCGUAGCGAAAGCGAGUCUGAAUAGGGCGAAGAGUACGAUGUUGUAGACCCGAAACCGUGUGAGCUAGCCAUGAGCAGGCUGAAGGUCAGGUAACACUGACUGGAGGGCCGAACCAGGGCACGUUGAAAAGUGCUUGGAUGACUUGUGGCUAGGGGUGAAAUUCCAAUCGAACACGGAUAUAGCUGGUUCUCUCCGAAAUAGCUUUAGGGCUAGCCUCGAUGUUAAGUCUACUGGAGGUAGAGCACUGAAUGGGUGAUGGCCCCACCUCGGGGUACUGAUCUCAAUCAAACUCCGAAUGCCAGAUAGAUAUAAUCGGGAGUCAGACUGUGGGUGAUAAGGUCCAUGGUCAAAAGGGAAAGAGCCCAGACCGCCAGCUAAGGCCCCCAAGUGUCCGUUAAGUGGAAAAGGAUGUGGAGAUGCACAGACAACUAGGAGGUUGGCUUAGAAGCAGCCAUCCUUUAAAGAGUGCGUAAUAGCUCACUAGUCGAGUGACUCUGCGCCGAAAAUGUACCGGGGCUAAACGGACCGCCGAAGCUGCGGAUUGACUUUAGAGUCAGUGGUAGGAGAGCGUUCUAACAGCGGUGAAGCAGUACCGGAAGGAGCUGUGGAGCGGUUAGAAGUGAGAAUGCCGGUGUGAGUAGCGAAAGAUAGGUGAGAAUCCUAUCCAUCGAAAGCCUAAGGUUUCCAGGGGAAGGCUCGUCCGCCCUGGGUAAGUCGGGACCUAAGGUGAGGCCGAAAGGCGUAGCCGAUGGACAACAGGUUGAUAUUCCUGUACCACUUAUUAAACUGAUGGAGUGACGGAGAAGGCUAAGUUGAGCGUGUGAUUGGAUUCACGUGUAAGCAGUGAGGUGGUCAUGUAGGCAAAUCCGCAUGGCAUAACAUUGAGCUGUGAUGCCGAAGCCGACUGGCGAAGUCAACUGACGUCACGCUUCCAAGAAAAGCUUCUAGGGUUAAUUUAAUAAGUGCCCGUACCGAUAACCGACACAGGUAGGCGAGGAGAGAAUCCUAAGAUGAGCGAGAGAACUCUUGUUAAGGAACUCGGCAAAAUGACCCCGUAACUUCGGGAGAAGGGGUGCUUGUGAAAGCAAGCCGCAGUGAAUAGGCCCAGGCGACUGUUUAUCAAAAACACAGGUCUCUGCUAAACCGCAAGGUGAUGUAUAGGGGCUGACGCCUGCCCGGUGCUGGAAGGUUAAGAGGAGAGGUUAGCGCAAGCGAAGCUUUGAAUUGAAGCCCCAGUAAACGGCGGCCGUAACUAUAACGGUCCUAAGGUAGCGAAAUUCCUUGUCGGGUAAGUUC
rnacentral:rRNA from 1 species